AUUGAACGCUGGCGGCAGGCUUAACACAUGCAAGUCGAGCGGGGUGAUGGUGCUUGCACUAUCACUUAGCGGCGGACGGGUGAGUAAUGCUUAGGAAUCUGCCUAUUAGUGGGGGACAACAUCUCGAAAGGGAUGCUAAUACCGCAUACGUCCUACGGGAGAAAGCAGGGGAUCACUUGUGACCUUGCGCUAAUAGAUGAGCCUAAGUCGGAUUAGCUAGUUGGUGGGGUAAAGGCCUACUAAGGCGACGAUCUGUAGCGGGUCUGAGAGGAUGAUCCGCCACACUGGGACUGAGACACGGCCCAGACUCCUACGGGAGGCAGCAGUGGGGAAUAUUGGACAAUGGGGGGAACCCUGAUCCAGCCAUGCCGCGUGUGUGAAGUAGGCCUUAUGGUUGUAAAGCACUUUAAGCGAGGAGGAGGCUCUUUUGGUUAAUACCCAAGAUGAGUGGACGUUACUCGCAGAAUAAGCACCGGCUAACUCUGUGCCAGCCGCCGCGGUAA
rnacentral:rRNA from 1 species